rfam:Nicotiana attenuata strain TT chromosome 7, whole genome shotgun sequence.
GUGUUCGUAGAAAGGAGAGACGGUUGGCAUCUCCCCUGACAGGGACGGGAACAGCCUUCGGGCUUUACCUCUUAUUAGACACAUCCGGUUAAGGCUAUCCACUUCGGUGGAUCUUACCCAAUUUUUUU